rnacentral:rRNA from 1 species
AGUGAACGCUUUCUUUAUUCCUAACACAUGCAAGUCGAACGGCAGCACAGUAAGAGCUUGCUCUUACGGGUGGCGAGUGGCGGACGGGUGAGGAAUACAUCGGAAUCUACUUUUUCGUGGGGGAUAACGUAGGGAAACUUACGCUAAUACCGCAUACGACCUACGGGUGAAAGCAGGGGAUCUUCGGACCUUGCGCGAUUGAAUGAGCCGAUGUCGGAUUAGCUAGUUGGCGGGGUAAAGGCCCACCAAGGCGACGAUCCGUAGCUGGUCUGAGAGGAUGAUCAGCCACACUGGAACUGAGACACGGUCCAGACUCCUACGGGAGGCAGCAGUGGGGAAUAUUGGACAAUGGGCGCAAGCCUGAUCCAGCCAUACCGCGUGGGUGAAGAAGGCCUUCGGGUUGUAAAGCCCUUUUGUUGGGAAAGAAAAGCAGCAGGUUAAUACCCCGCUGUUCUGGCGGUACCCAAAGAAUAAGCACCGGCUAACUUCGUG